UCUGGUUGAUCCUGCCAGUAGUUAUAUGCUUGUCUCAAAGAUUAAGCCAUGCAUGUCUAAGUACACACAAAUUAACAGUGAAACCGCAAAAGGCUUAUUACAUCAGUUAUGGUUCCUUAGAUCGUUAACAGUUACUUGGAUAACUGUGGUAAUUCUAGAGCUAAUACAUGCAAUUAAAACACGGACCUUUUGGAACGUGUGCUUUUAUUAGGCUAAAACCAAGCGAUCGCAAGAUCGUUUUAUUGGUUGAACUCUAGAUAACAUGCAGAUCUUAUGGUCUUGUACCGACGACAGAUCUUUCAAAUGUCUGCCCUAUCAACUUUUGAUGGUAGUAUCUAGGACUACCAUGGUUGCAACGGGUAACGGGGAAUCAGGGUUCGAUUCCGGAGAGGGAGCCUGAGAAACGGCUACCACAUCUAAGGAAGGCAGCAGGCGCGUAAAUUACCCACUCCCAGCUCGUGGAGGUAGUGACGAAAAAUAACAAUACAGGACUCAUAUCCGAGGCCCUGUAAUUGGAAUAAGUACACUUUAAAUCCUUUAACAAGGACCUAUUGGAGGGCAAGUCUGGUGCCAGCAGCCGCGGUAAUUCCAGCUCCAAUAGCGUAUAUUAAAGUUGUUGCGGUUAAAACGUUCGUAGUUGAACUUGUGCUUCAUACGGGUAGUACAACUUACAAUUGUAGUUAGUACUAUACCUUUAUGUAUGUUAGCGUAUUACCGGUGGAGUUCUUAUAUUUUAUUAAAUACUUGUAUUUAUUUAUAUAUUCCUCCUAUUUAAAAACCUGCAUUAGUGCUCUUCAUCGAGUGUUAUUGUGGGCCGGUACAAUUUCUUUGAACAAAUUAGAGUGCUUAAAGCAGGCUUCAAAGGCCUGAAUAUUCUGUGCAUGGGAUAAUGAAAUAAGACCUCUGUUCUACUUUCAUUGGUUUUCAGAUCAAGAGGUAAUGAUUAAUAGAAGCAGUUUGGGGGCAUUAGUAUUACGACGCGAGAGGUGAAAUUCUUGGACCUUCGUAAGACAAACUUAAGCGAAAGCAUUUGACUGUGGAGAGUUGCCUUGCCGGCAUAAGUCAAUUAUGUUUAUAUAAAAAGAAUAAUGAAGGUAUAAAAGUGUAUUAUUAAAUUACUACAUGAAGACAUUAAGGUGAAUGGUAGCAUUUGGAAAAAAAAUCGCCAUUAUAGAUGAUGUGUCAAAAAACCUAUAUAGGGAGUGGUGUCGCGCAAGGCAUGUCAUAUGAAAAAUUUUAAAUACGGUAAAUUCUUAUGACUGUGGAGUGUUGCCUUGCCGGCAUAAGUCAAUUAUGUUUAUAUAAAAAGAAUAAUGAAGUUAUUAAAGUGUAUUAUUAAAUUAGUACAUGAUGACAUUAGGGUGAAUGGUAGCAUUUGGAAAAAAUAUCGCCAUUAUAGAUGAUGUGUCAAAAAACCUAUAGUGUGUCGCGCAAGGCAUGUCAUAUGAAAAAUUUUAAAUGCGGUAAAUUCAUAUGACUGUGGAGUGUUGCCUUGCCGGCAUUAGUCAAUUUUGUUUUUUUUUUUUUUGGUUUCUCAUUUUGCUUAUUGAUUUAAUACUAUCCUUCGUGGACAACCAUUUAAUUGUAUAAUUAUAAACUUAGCUUAUGUGUAUUUCAUGAAUUGAGCUUAGUAUAGUUGUUAUUCUUAGAGAGAGUUAAAUGGUUAUGUUAUUCCAUGACAGAAGGUCAAAUGCCUAUAUUGUCCCAUGGGAGAUCCAGUGGGUGGGCUCUGCAGAGUCUUCUCCUUUGUUGGCUGUUGUCUAGCAGACAAAUGGCUAGUGUGUUUGGAUGGUUGUGUAAUCGCUUGAUAUAUCGUCUGCUGCUUUUGGCAAUCUUGUCUGCACCCGGGG
rnacentral:rRNA from 1 species